rnacentral:miRNA from 1 species
UCUCUGUCCUCCAGUUCUG